CUCUCUCUCUCUCUCUCUCUCUCUCUCUCUUUUUCUCCCCCUUGCCCUCUUCUCUACGAACCAAACUAAAAAACCUUAGGGUUUCUACAACUCCUUUCCACUCUCUUAAUCCCUCGUCUUCUUUCUCAAACCUUCCCCAGAAACCCUAAUGCCUGCUACUUGCUCCUUUCCUCACCCCGAAGCUCUCUCUCACUCUUACUUAUCUCUCCCUGCUUUUGAAUGAAACUCAAAUUCAGAUCUUUGAUCCCUGAGACCCUAAAUCAUUCUCUAGUCUCAAAUCUCUCUUAAAUUUUUUUUUUUCUGAAACCCUGGAGCCCUGGAUCUGAUGCUUUCCCUCUUUCUUUCUGAAGGUCUUCGAGUUUUCUUACCCAAAAAAUCUCUCCCUUCUCUAGCUCUUCUCUGAAGGUUUUUGAGUGAAGCCCCAGUUUCUGUCACGAUGGCGACUAGCAAACACCCCCAAAGACGUCUCGGAAAAGAGGACCAAUCUAGCACUCAGGGAGGUCCCCACUUGGAGAAAAAAAGAUAAGUUUUUAAUUCUUCUUUUCAAUUCUCUCUUCCCUUUUUGAUUGUUGAUGUGGCUUGUGAAUGUGAUGUUCUGAUGUGUCAGUGCAUGGUUGUUUCAAUGAUUUUGGGUGGUUUCAGAUCUAGGAUCUGGAAAGUUAAGGUUUUAGGUUACUGGGUCAGGGUUGAAGACGAGUCAUCUCAUCUCAACCCAGUGAGUGGUGUUGGGUUGACUCACACAAGUCAACCCAGGUGAGUUAUGUGACUUGGUUAAGCCCGAAUUGGGCUUUAAACAUGUGUGAGCCUCUGGCAUGUGCAAGGGCCUGAGUUUCUUUUAAGUUCAAGGCCGGUUCUGGGUAAAGUUUUCUAAAAUGAAUGGGCUUCAAGGUUACUCUUUAAAAAUGGGCCUGACUCUCUUUAAAGACAAAUGAGCUUUGAGUGAUUUUAUAAAAUGGACUGGGAGAUUUUCAAAAGGAGAUUGGGCCCAGGGAGUUUUAAAAAAACUUGGGCCUAAGAGGAUUAAAAAUGGGGUUGGGCUUAUUUAGGACAAAUGGGCCUCGAUUAAUUUGAAAACGGGCUUUGGGGUUUAAGUGAAAACAAGGCCCAAGUUGGAUGACUUUGAACUCGAGUUUAAGUUCAGGUCAGGUGGUUUGAUUAAAUGGGUAGGAGUUAAUUAAAGGCAAUGAGUUCGAGUCUCAGGUCAAAGCAGGGUUCAGAUCCGUGGGGUGCAAAUCUGGUUCGGGUAUUCAAUUUGAAGCUUUGGUAGGUAUCGAAGGAUUCAAACUCCGGGCUCGGGUUUAGAUUUAGGAAGUGAUUCAGUUCAGGGUCUUUCUCAGGUUCAGGUUUGAACCCGAGGCUUGGGAUAGGAAUACUUGCAUUCAAACUAACUCACACACAAUCAUCGAUAGACAAUGUAAAAAGUGUAGUUUUGAAUUUUACCCUUCUCUUCUCAUCUCCUCUAGUCUUCUUUUCGAAUCUCUGCGUGAGUCUGAGGGUUCAAGAACUGAAAUCAGGUUCGGGUCAAGCUUUGCUUGUGAUUCUAAAUACUGCUUGUUGCUUGGUGUUCUGAAUUGGAAUUGUUGCUCAGUGCUCUAAAUUUUACCAAGAUUUCUCUUCCUUAUGAUUUCUCUUCUUGAACUCUCAGCUCCUGAGAGUUUCGCUAGUGCUUUCUAAUUUCUCUCAAUUGCUACAAGAGAUUACUCAGCUCUCUUCCCACUCUUUUUUCCUUUCAAUUUCCACAGGGUUUUUCUAAUGCUCUGUAAAAGACUCCCAAUUUAUGGGGAGUCUUGGGGCUUGAUUUGGCGCCAAAACUUAUUCCUCACCAACAAAAUGCCACUUUUUAUUCCUUGCGCUGGUGAAAUCGAAGAUGCUUCUAGCUGGCAAACGGGGAUUGGAAGGCUUUUGUAUUUUUAUUAAUUUUUGUAUUUUUUCUUUGGGAUGUAUUUGCGGUAUUGGAUGCACCCCCUCCCUUUUGUACUACACCCACUCUUUGUACCUUCCUUUUUCUUGUAAUAUUUCAUAUAUUUUGUACCCUUGUAUUCUGCAGUUGUAACAUUCUACGAGUGCCCUCCCCUGUAUGUAUUUUCCAUGCAACAUGUGUCCCUUCUUUGUAAAAAAGUGACCUCAUGUAUUUUUUCCUUAAUAAAGUGUGACCUGAAUUUU